CCAAGAUCCGCGAUGAAACCCGAUCCAAGAUCCGCAUCGAUGACCCCGUGCCCGGAUCCGACGACCGAGUCAUCGUCAUCACCGCUGACUCGAGCUCGAGGGAUUAUGGUGACGUGUCAUCGGCUCAGAUGGCGUUGGUCAGGGUUUUUGAGAGGAUCGAAGAGCUUGAGGAGGGGAGGGAGGCGAGCUGUAGAUUGUUGGUGAGUGGGACCCAGGUCGGGUGUGUGUUGGGGAAAGGAGGGAAGAUUGUGGAGCGGAUAAGAGGGGAAAGUGGAGCUCAGAUUAGGGUUUUGGGGAAGGAGCAGUUGCCGGUGUGCGCGGCGGCUGGGGAUGAGCUGAUUUAUAUCACGGGGAGUUUAUCAGCUGUAAGGAGAGCACUUUUAUCUGUUUCUAGUUGUCUACAAGGCAACCCAAGGACAGAACCAACCAACUUUAGUACGAUGAGAUCAUUCGGAUCAACUCCUGAUGGAUCUGGUGCACCUGCACCUGUGGACCCGUAUGCUCAUCGGAGUUAUGUGCCCAGUCAUCAUGCCCCAGAUUAUCAUUCCAGGACCUAUACGUCAAAUCCAGGAAUAGAUGUUACUACACAUUCCCUCAGAAAAGUUCAUGAAGAGGAUGUUAUCUUCAGAAUGUUAUGCUCCAAAGAUAGAGUUGGAAGUAUUAUCGGGAAGGCUGGUAUCAUCGUUCGAAACUUGCAAAAUGAAACUGGUGCUUCAAUUAGGGUUGUAGAUGCGGUCAGCGAUUCAGAUGAAAGAAUUAUUGUGAUAUCUGCUCACGAGAAUUCUGAAAUGAAAGGUUCAAUUGCACAAGAUGCUGUUCUUCGCGUGCAUUCUAGACUUAUAGAAGGAGUUGAUAAAGGAUCUUUGGUACCUGCAAGGCUUCUUGUACCUGCACAACAUAUAGGUUGUUUGUUAGGUAAAGGUGGGUCCAUCAUUGCUGAAAUGAGAAGGUCUACCGGAGCCAACAUCCGAAUUUUUUCGAAGGAGCAGGUUCCAAACUGUGCUCAGCCAAAUGAUGAAGUUGUUCAGGUGAUUGGUACAGUGCACUCUGUUCAAGAUGCCUUAUUCCAUAUAACGAGCAGGAUCCGGGAGACUAUCUUCCCCCAGAAACUAUAUGCAAGUGCUGGCAUGACGCAUUACUCUGAUAUCCCUCCUCUACAUAGAUCAAGAAACGAGCAAACCGUCGGGCUUUCUCAUGGUCUUGAUACCAUUGAUCGGCACCCUCCUCUUCCUCAUGCUGUAGAUCAUCUAGCAGUAGAUCGAGUUCCCUUCUCAUACAGCAGUGAAACUACUGGACUUCGGCAUUUUGAUCAUUCUCCUUCACCAAGAUCUUGGGGUCGGCAGAUUUUGCAGAUCACAAGCAGUGGAAACCCCAGAGGUAUCCCUGAUACUGAAACAGGCUUUGAUUUUAGGAGUGGUUUGACUGGAAGUGUACCUCAUACACCCGUUGUGACAAACACAUCUAUUGAAGUCAUUGUUCCUCAACAUUUGCUGGCAUUUGUUCAUGGUGAGAAUGACAGUAACCUGAUUUUGAUCAGAGAGAUAUCCGGUGCUAAGGUCACAAUCUAUGAUGCAAAACAUGGAGGAGCAGAAGGAACAGUGAUUAUUUCUGGAACUCCUGACGAGACUCGUACGGCCCAGAGCCUUCUUCAUGGUUUCGUACUUCACGAGCAAUCAUCAACGUGAAGCCUCGGAUCACUGUGACGUUUUAGUAUCCCUGGAACCCUUUCUAUCCAAAGGGUACUGCCAAAACUUUUUUCUGUUAAUAACCUUUGACAUAUGACAGUGAAGUUACAAGGAACUGCCACCUCAGGAAGUUAGCAACUUAGCAUGCAUUCAUAUUUCAAAACCUGUAGAUAAUACAAUUAUCUAAAUAGUAUAGACAUGUUCUUAAUGAACAAGAAGGAAAGUUGUUUUCCUUUUCUUUUUGCCUUGGCCCUUGGGUGUUAUUAUCAGUCUUAAUUUCAUUAUGGGUUUGAUGGGUAUAAGGUGGCGGUUUAUUUAGCAAAAUGAGCUACCAAGAGAUAGAUUGGUGAGACCCACACCUUUUGAUGUGCCUAGUAGGGUGGGCCUCACUACAUGACUAUCUCAUGGUAGCUCAUUUUACUAAAUGAGCCGCUAUCUCAUGCUCAUUUUUUCUUCCAUUAUAGAGGAUUAUUGAUAAAUUAAAGAGGAUUUAUACUUUCAGGGCAGUACUCCGGCUUAUGCACCUCGUGUGCAUGUAUCUGUGUAUGAUGAAUAUGUUUAUGCAUGCAUGUGUGAAAAAUUUGUGUGUGCCCCCGUGCGUGUUAAGUGUUUGCCUGUGCGAAUAUGAGUGGGUGUGAAAGUGUAUGUGGAUGCAUGGGUGUGCACAAAUGAUUGUAUGGACUAUUUUUGCGCUGACGGUUAAGCUUUUUCUUUGAGAGCAAAUUAGGAAUGAGUGCAAUUCAUGGGGGGUAUGGUGAGUGUUAGAUUUAGAAGGAACCACAAUCACCCACUAGUAAGGUAAUCAAUGGUUAUGAUCAAAAGUAGUGGUGUUACUACUACCGUUUUGUAGUGGAGAGGAUCCAAAUUUGUAGGCAUUCUCAUUGACUUCAACUUAUAGAGCUUUACCUUUCUUUGGUGUUUAGCUCUAUACGGAGACCUUUUUCUGUCCUAAACUACAAUAUAUAAAUCACAUUUUUAGGUGUACACAUGCACGCCCGCGCGCAUGCCACUGUGAUCAAAUAAUGAAGAAGGAGAAGGUAAUAGCUACUCUAAUCUAAAAUUGCAUACUACUGUGAUCAAAUAAUGCAGAAUGAGAAGGAAGCUGGUUCAUCUGACACAUUGAACCACUUGAAGGAGGUCAAUGCUGUCAUGUUUCAACAAUUCUCUUUGCAACUGAGGCUGUGUUCUUGGUUCAGAGCCAUUCACAGUUUACAACAGAAUUGGGCUGCAAACGUCAGCUGACCUCAAUCCAAAAUCAUGCACAUUAUGACAGAUUGUUGCUGAGAGAAGUCAAAGAAGGAUUACCUUGCAUUAGGGUAUGAAAAAAGGGGAGGUUACAUCGAUGAUCUUGGUUCUUGGUUCUGUAAGAAAACGAGGCUAGAGUUUGUAUUCCUCGAUUUUAUAUGGCGUUCAAUUCCUGUCGGAUAAUCUAUUGGAUGUAUAUGUAAAUUACAAAUUUAAACAGAUGUUUAUGUUGUGUUCAAUUCCUGUCCGAUAAUCUACUGGAUGUAUAUGUAAAUUAUAAAUUUAAACAGAGAUAUUUAUGUUUUGUUAUAUCGA